GUGGGGAAUAUUCCGCAAUGGACGAAAGUCUGACGGAGCAACGCCGCGUGAGUGAUGAAGGUUUUCGGACUGUAAAGCUCUGUUGUUUAGGACGAAAGUGCCUGUUGCAAAUAGUUACAGGUAUUGACGGUACUGAACGAGGAAGCCACGGCUAACUACGUGCCAGCAGCCGCGGUAAUACGCAGGUGGCAAGCGUUGUCCGGAAUUAUUGGGCGUAAAGAGCAUGUAGGCGGGAAUCUAAGUCUGUUGUGAAAAUGCGGGGCUCAACCCCGUAUUGCGAUGGAAACUGGGUUUCUUGAGUGCAGGAGAGGAAAGGGGAAUUCCCAGUGUAGCGGUGAAAUGCGUAGAUAUUGGGAGGAACACCAGUGGCGAAGGCGCCUUUCUGGACUGUGUCUGACGCUGAGAUGCGAAAGCCAGGGUAGCGAACGGGAUUAGAUACCCGAGUAGUCC
rnacentral:rRNA from 1 species